rnacentral:rRNA from 1 species
CGCUGGCGGCGUGCUUAACACGAUGGCAAGUCGAACGGGGGAUCGAUCGGGGCGGAAGGGCUUCGGCCGGAAGGCUGGUGAUUCUAGUGGCGGACGGGUGAGUAACGCGUGAACAAUCUGUCCCAGACAGGGGGAUAACACUUGGAAACAGGUGCUAAUACCGCAUGAGACCACGGUGUCGCAUGGCACAGGGGUAAAAGGAGUAAUCCGGUUUGGGGUGAGUUCGCGUCCGAUUAGCCAGUUGGCGGGGUAACGGCCCACCAAAGCGACGAUCGGUAGCCGACCUGAGAGGGUGAUCGGCCACAUUGGAACUGAGAGACGGUCCAAACUCCUACGGGAGGCAGCAGUGGGGAAUAUUGGGCAAUGGGCGAAAGCCCUGACCCAGCAACGCCGCGUAGAGUGUAAGAAGGCCUUCGGGUUGUAAAGCUCUGUUAUAGGGGACGAAGUGCGUGACGGUACCCUAUAAGGAAGCCCCGGCUAACUACGUGCCAGCCGCCGC